rnacentral:rRNA from 1 species
GAAGAGUUUGAUCAUGGCUCAGAUUGAACGCUGGCGGCAGGCCUAACACAUGCAAGUCGAACGGUAACAGGAAGCAGCUUGCUGCUUUGCUGACGAGUGGCGGACGGGUGAGUAAUGUCUGGGAAACUGCCUGAUGGAGGGGGAUAACUACUGGAAACGGUGGCUAAUACCGCAUAACGUCGCAAGACCAAAGAGGGGGACCUUCGGGCCUCUUGCCAUCAGAUGUGCCCAGAUGGGAUUAGCUUGUUGGUGAGGUAACGGCUCACCAAGGCGACGAUCCCUAGCUGGUCUGAGAGGAUGACCAGCCACACUGGAACUGAGACACGGUCCAGACUCCUACGGGAGGCAGCAGUGGGGAAUAUUGCACAAUGGGCGCAAGCCUGAUGCAGCCAUGCCGCGUGUAUGAAGAAGGCCUUCGGGUUGUAAAGUACUUUCAGCGGGGAGGAAGGUGUUGUGG